AAGUCGUAACAAGGUUUCCGUAGGUGAACCUGCGGAAGGAUCAUUAACACUUUUUUGUUGAUUGUUGGUUUUUUUUACAAAAACCGACAACCACAAUUUAUCCUAUCCAAACUGAAGAGCUUGUGAGCAGUGUGCUUUUUUGUUUCAAGAAAGCUGGCUCCCAUUUUCUCACUUUUUCCUUUUUCACUUUUAAACAAAAACCCCAAUCACACAAAUCUAAUUCAUUUGUGAGAUUGCAAACAAUCAAUUUGCUAUCUUGACAAUCUAAAAAACAACUAUUAAGAGAUUUACAUCUCAAAAUGUAACCAAACAACUCUUAACAACGGAUAUCUUGGCUCUC
rnacentral:misc_RNA from 1 species